UACGCCAGAGUUUGGGACCUGGCUCAGAUUGAACGCUAGCGGGAUGCCUUACACAUGCAAGUCGAACGGCAGCACGGACUUCGGUCUGGUGGCGAGUGGCGAACGGGUGAGUAAUGUAUCGGAACGUGCCCAGUAGCGGGGGAUAACUACGCGAAAGCGUAGCUAAUACCGCAUACGCCCUACGGGGGAAAGCAGGGGAUCGCAAGACCUUGCACUAUUGGAGCGGCCGAUAUCGGAUUAGCUAGUUGGUGGGGUAACGGCUCACCAAGGCGACGAUCCGUAGCUGGUUUGAGAGGACGACCAGCCACACUGGGACUGAGACACGGCCCAGACUCCUACGGGAGGCAGCAGUGGGGAAUUUUGGACAAUGGGGGAAACCCUGAUCCAGCCAUCCCGCGUGUGCGAUGAAGGCCUUCGGGUUGUAAAGCACUUUUGGCAGGAAAGAAACGUCAUGGGUUAAUACCCCGUGAAACUGACGGUACCUGCAGAUAUAAGCACCG
rnacentral:rRNA from 1 species